GAUGAACGCUGGCGGCGUGCUUAACACAUGCAAGUCGAACGGAAAGGCUCCUGCUUGCAGGGGUACUCGAGUGGCGAACGGGUGAGUAACACGUGGGUGAUCUGCCCUGCACUUCGGGAUAAGCCUGGGAAACUGGGUCUAAUACCGGAUAGGACGAUGGUUUGGAUGCCAUUGUGGAAAGUUUUUCGGUGUGGGAUGAGCUCGCGGCCUAUCAGCUUGUUGGUGGGGUAAUGGCCUACCAAGGCGUCGACGGGUAGCCGGCCUGAGAGGGUGUACGGCCACACUGGGAUGGAGAUCCGACACGGAUUACAGAGGGGGGAGGUAGGGGGGAAUAGUGCACAGUGGGGGAGUGCGUGGUGGAGGGCCGGGGGGGGGGGGGGGAUGGCUUGGGGGUUGUGAACCGAUGUGGCGAGGGAGGAGACGAGAGUGGCGGUGCGGAGAGAAGAAGAACAGCAUAACUACGCGCCAGCAGCGGCGGAAAUAGUCGAAGUGAAAACGUACUAAG
rnacentral:rRNA from 1 species